rnacentral:rRNA from 1 species
UCAUACGGAGGAUCCAAGCGUUAUCCGGAAUUACUGGGCGUAAAGAGUUGCGUAGGUGGCAUCGUAAGUCUGUAGUGAAAGCGUGGGGCUCAACCCCAUACACAUUAUGGAAACUGCGAAGCUAGAGGACAAGAGAGGUUAUUGGAAUUCCUAGUGUAGGAGUGAAAUCCGUAGAUAUUAGGAGGAACACCGAUGGCGUAGGCAGAUAACUGGCUUGUUCCUGACACUAAGGCACGAAAGCAUGGGUAGCAAACGGG